rnacentral:rRNA from 1 species
UACGGAGGGUGCAAGCGUUAUCCGGAUUCACUGGGUUUAAAGGGUGCGUAGGUGGGCAAGUAAGUCAGUGGUGAAAUCUCCGGGCUUAACCCGGAAACUGCCAUUGAUACUAUUUGUCUUGAAUACUGUGGAGGUCAGCGGAAUAUGUCAUGUAGCGGUGAAAUGCUUAGAUAUGACAUAGAACACCAAUUGCGGAGGCAGCUGGCUACACAAAUAUUGACACUGGGGCACGAAAGCGUGGGGAUCAAACAGG